GCAAGGUUAACCGAAUAGGGGAGCCGGAGGGAAACCGAGUCUUAACCGGGCGUUAAGUUGCAGGGUAUAGACCCGAAACCCGGUGAUCUAGCCAUGGGCAGGUUGAAGGUUGGGUAACACUAACUGGAGGACCGAACCGACUAAUGUUGAAAAAUUAGCGGAUGACCUGUGGCUGGGGGUGAAAGGCCAAUCAAACCGGGAGAUAGCUGGUUCUCCCCGAAAGCUAUUUAGGUAGCGCCUCGUGAAUUCAUCUCCGGGGGUAGAGCACUGUUUCGGCUAGGGGGCCAUCCCGGCUUACCAACCCGAUGCAAACUGCGAAUACCGGAGAAUGUUAUCACGGGAGACACACGGCGGGUGCUAACGUCCGUCGUGAAGAGGGAAACAACCCAGACCGCCAGCUAAGGUCCCAAAGUCAUGGUUAAGUGGGAAACGAUGUGGGAAGGCCCAGACAGCCAGGAUGUUGGCUUAGAAGCAGCCAUCAUUUAAAGAAAGCGUAAUAGCUCACUGGUCGAGUCGGCCUGCGCGGAAGAUGUAACGGGGCUAAACCAU
rnacentral:rRNA from 2 species